UGCAUUUUACGUUUCUUAUACGAGAGUAAGACUAUACUUGUUUUACAAAGUUACCUGUCAUAACUAUCAAAUCAGCUCAGAGACAGCCUCUUAUGUAGUCACUUGAGCUGCGAGAAAUAGCAGCCAGAUAACAUCGUAUCGUCUUAAAAGAAUGAUUUCUCUUGACUAGGCACAAGGCCAAUUUUGCAGGGAAAGAAUACCGUCGAUUGACAAAACACUACUCUAGAGAGAUGAAAAGACAAGCUGACUACAGUGUGAACUGAAUUCAGUUUAGUGCAAUCAUGACAGGAUCAAAACAAUCUUGAUUUUGAACUAUUUAAUAAAUUGAUAUUUAAAAUAGCCAUCAAUGAUGAUAAUACAAGAGAAUAUUUGCACUCAACUGUUUGCAAAUUUCGAGAAGGAUGGAAGUUUUG